rnacentral:rRNA from 1 species
AGUGAACGCUGGCGGCGUGCUUAACACAUGCAAGUCGAACGGUAAGGCCCUUCGGGGUACACGAGUGGCGAACGGGUGAGUAACACGUGGGUGAUCUGCCCUGCACUUCGGGAUAAGCCUGGGUAACUGGGUCUAAUACCGGAUAGCACCACUGCCUGCAUGGGUGGUGGUGGAAAGCUUUUGCGGUGUGGGAUGGGCCCGCGGCCUAGCAGCUUGUUGGUGGGGUGAUGGCCUACCAAGGCGACGACGGGUAGCCGGCCUUAGAGGGUGACCGGCCACACUGGGACUGAGAUACGGCCCAGACUCCUACGGGAGGCAGCAGUGGGGAAUAUUGCACAAUGGGCGCAAGCCUGAUGCAGCGACGCCGCGUGAGGGAUGACGGCCUUCGGGUUGUAAACCUCUUUCAGCUAUGACGAAGCGCAAGUGACGGUAGUAGCAGAAGAAGGACCGGCCAACUACGUGCCAGCAGCCGCCGUAA